rnacentral:rRNA from 1 species
ACGCUCGACACCUACGGGGGCAGCAGUGGGGAAUAUUGCACAAUGGGGGAAACCCUGAUGCAGCGACGCCGCGUGAAGGAAGAAGUAUUUCGGUAUGUAAACUUCUAUCAGCAGGGAAGAAACUGACGGUACCUGACUAAGAAGCACCGGCUAAAUACGUGCCAGCAGCNGAGUNUNGCGGCGNGNGAGNG